GAAAUCGAGACCAUCCUGGCUAACACGAAGAAACCCCAUCUCUACUAAAAAUACAAAAAAUUAGCCGGGUGUGGUGGCGGGCGUCUGUAGUCCCAGCUACUUGGGAGGCUGAGGCAAGAGAACGGCGUGAACCCGGGAGGCGGAGCUUGCAGUGAGCCGAGAUAGCGCCACUGCACUCCAGCCUGGGUGACAGAGCGAGACUCCAUCUCAAAAUAAAUAAAUAAAAUAAAAUAAUUAGCCAGGCGAGGUGGCGGGCACCUGUAGUCCCAGCUACUCGGGAGGCUGAGGCAGGAGAAUGGCGUGAACCCGGGAGGCGCAGCUUGCGGUGAGCCGAGAUUGCGCCACUGCACUCCAGCCUGGGCAACAGAGUGAGACUCUGUCUCAAAAAAAAAAAAAAAAAAGAUAUGACUUGGGAAGUGAAAUUCUCUAAUCUGAAACUUUAUUGCAAAAAUUGUGGGCAUCUAGGAGAACUGGAGUUGUGAGCAGGUCAGAAGAGAAACUUUGCUGCUUCCUUUGUCAAUGCUGUAUGGAGAGAAAUUUGAGAUGCUUUGGAUAUUAAAAGAAAGACUGGAAGGCAGAAGAUACUGAAUUAACCACACCAAUGAAGAGCGAUGAGGAAUCAGAAACCAGAGAUGGGACAUGGCUAAUAAAUAGUGGAGUGGAGACUCAAUCCUGGGCAAUCUCACCUAAGAGCCCACAUUCUUUCAGGACCCAGCACUUAGUAGGGUUUGCAAGUUCCUUUGAAAGAAGAGAAUUACAGAAGUAUUGAGACUGGAAGGAGCACUUAGUGCAGGACCACAGGAUGACUGACUCCUCAGCACAGCUUAGCAUCCUGGUGCCAAAGUGGGUGCUUCACAAAGAUUUAUUGUAUAAAUAGAGAGGACUAUCACAAACCACAUGUUGACUGAAUGACUCCACCAUUGUCUAACCACUGAUUUUGAGGGGAUCCCUUGGGACUAUCCCAUAGAUCCAAGUUCACCUUACCUUGGGAGCAGAUGGAACCAGACCCCAGGUGCUCUGCCAUGAAUCUCCCUCAGGUGAUCCGGGCAUCCCAAAGAUCUUACCUCAUAGAAGCUGUUGUAGAAGCAAUUGCAGGAAGAGGCAUUGAUGCAGCGUUGUCAUUAAGCAAAAAGCCAGGACUGCUGACACUACCCUGCCAGCAGACAAGCCUGCAGCUGGGCCUGAGGCUCUCACAGGAUGCAAGGCAAGCACAGGAUUCAUAUGAGGGACAACUAUCUAACCGGAAAACACAAAACCUCCAUUAAGCCUUCGCUCUGCAGCUUUUCUCAGAGAUCCUUCCUGUCUCUCCUCUACACUCCCAAACUGAAGUUCUUCUCUAAGAAGUAGGCCCAUAUUAUUCAAUCAUAAGAAGGAAUGAAGUUCUGAUGCAUGCUACAACAUGGAUGACCUUGAAAACAUUAUGCUCAGUGAAAGAAGCCACACACAAAGGCCCACAUAUUUUAUAAUUCCAUUUGUGUAAAAUGUCUAGAAUAGGCAACAAAUGAAAGAGUUGAGUAUUGUGUAAGGGAAGUUUGAGAUUCCUAUUGCCAUUCAGGUGAGGAUGUUGAGCAGGUUGCUCAACAGGUUGCUUGAUAAGUGUCUGGAGUUCAGGAGAAAUAACCAGUCCAGAGGCAUAAAUUUGGGAGUCAUUAGCAAAUAAUUGGAAUUUUAAAGCAUGAGACUAGAUUAGACUACAUGGGCCUGAUAAAUAUUUGAUAGGUAAUAAACAAAUAUACACAAUAUCUUCUGCUAUAACACAUUAUCUAUAACAAAUAGUAUAUAUGUAAUAGGAAAUAGGGGAAGAAUGUCAAUACCAUGUGGACGUUGGGUUGAAGUAGAAUUUUAACCUUCAGCAUGAAAGGAAAAAUCCCUCAAUUUGGCUGCUGCAGUGUCAAAAGCCCUUUUAGCUUUAUUUAUGUUUUAAAAUUAAAAGUGAGGUUCUACACCCAGGGCUUCCUCUCCAAGGAAGUAGACCCUCAGCCUUGCAUGAUUCUUGCCUCAGGCAGAGUGUACUUCUUCCUGUGCGCACCUUAAUAGCAGCCUUUCUGUCUUAGACUUCCACUUCCAUCUGCAUUGUCUCAGCUCUCUCAAGUAGAAUUUCCUCUCUAUUGGUUUCUUGCAUGUUUAAUAUCUACUGAGGUGGCCUCUAGCCAUAACAAGCUGUGUGUCUGAGCUGUGCACAAGUCAUCACCUGAUAUAUUAUUUUAAAAAAAUUGUUAAUGCUCUGCUUAUAAAGGUACAUAAGUUUUGAGUGAUCUGCCUUAACUCUUAUGCCUUGUUAGUUUUAGUGUGUGAUUUUGAAAAAUGAGAGAUUUUUCAGCCGAGUAUGUCAUUUUAUGUCAGAAAUGCUUGUAUACAUAUAAUUGACAUGCUACUUUUGUUCACAUCUUUCCUGGCAGGAACUGAAAGGUAUUUAUAUUUAUGUUUCUCUCCCUCCGCCAAAAUAAAACAAAACAAAACAAAGAACAAAAACCCAGGAAUGGGCACAUGACCCAGGCCAGCCAAUCAGAAUAUACUACCUACCUGGCCAUGGUAAUUGUUUCAGGGAUGGACACAUGAUCCAAGUAGAACCAAGAAUUGUCCCUGGAGUUAUCAGGAAAGAGAACUCUUUUAACUCUGGAACAAUGUUACACACCAUCUGCCUUAAUAAUGAUGCCAUUACAAGGGAAAGGAGACUCAAAUUAAAAUUCAUUUAUGCAGCCAAAAAACACACGAAAAAAUGCUCACCAUCACUGGCCAUCAGAGAAAUGCAAAUCAAAACCACAAUGAUACACCAUCUCACAUCAGUUAGAAUGGCAAUCAUUAAAAAGUCAGGAAACAACAGGUGCUGGAGAGGAUGUGGAGAAAU
rnacentral:lncRNA from 10 species